CUCUGCACAGGGAAGGCGUGAGACCAUCCCCAGGACUUCAGGAAACAACUUCCUGGUAACCGUUUGCUAGGUGAAGAACCGAGCAAGCACAGGAGAGAGAUGGGGAUGCUGGGGACCGGCCUGCUGGGGUGGGGCCGGGGGCCCGACUCGGGGCGCCGCCCUGGGCGCCUGGAUCCGCAUGCGGGGGCACCCCCGUCGGCACCAGAGCGUCCCAGGGCGGGCAGGGCUCCAGGCCCCUGUGGCCCUGCCAGUGGCAGAAGGGCAAAGAAGCCGGGCCACUGGGGAGUGUGAGACAGCCACCGCGCAGCUGCUGGCUGCCAGGUCACAGUCCAGGUGUCCCCCAGGCCUCCUGACAGCUGCCCUCCCGGGUCCGCUCCUUCCGCUGCUGGGGCCUCGUCCACAGAGACAUGAACACCCACUCUGGGGAGCGCUAAGCCUGGACACACGAGAAUGCAGUUGGGGGACAGUGUCCAGAAGCUGUGGUCGGAGGCUGGUCCCAGUUUUGAGCAGGCAUCCUGUCUGCCAGCCCCGUGACAGGAGGGGACAGCUGCAGCUGCCCCUGGAGCUAUAAAAAGCCCAACACCCGAGCAGAGGUCACACGGAGCAGACGCAGGAUUCACUGGCCCUGGGGAGCUCGGCCCAGCAAGCAUGAGGCUGGCCCCCGCCAUCAAGCUGCUGCAAGCCCCCCUGAGGGGCUGUGUCGUGCCCAAGGUGCACAUCUCUGCCAAGCCGGCCAAGACACCCGUCUCCCCCCCGGAGCAGGCUGUGGGCCUCAUGGUGACGUUCGUCAGCUUCCUGACCCCCGCGGGCUGGGUCCUGGUCCACCUGGAGAGCUACAAGAAGAGCUCUGCGGCCUGAGCGCUGCUUCCAGCAGCGGAGGACAAGUCCCAUUAAACCCUCUCCCCACCUAA